rnacentral:rRNA from 1 species
AUACGAAGGGCCCAAGCGUUGCGCGGAAUUAUUGGGCUUAAAGGGUGCGUAGGCGGACCCGCAAGUGCCUUGUGAAAGCCCUCGGCUCAACCGAGGAAUUGCUUGGUAGACUGCAGGUCUUGAGCUCGGCAGGGGCGGUCGGAACUCUAGGUGGAGCGGUGAAAUGCGUAGAUAUCUAGAGGAACGCCAAAGGUGAAGACAGACCGCUGGGCCGAUGCUGACGCUGAGGCACGAAAGCGUGGGUAGCGAACGGGAUUAGAAACCCCGGUAGUCC